rnacentral:lncRNA from 1 species
GAGCAGCCACGAUGCAAAAAGAGCAAGGGAGAGGUGGGAUCAAACAUCAAAGCUUGUGAGCAUUGUGGUUCAUAUUUUUGUAUGAGUAAAAUGCAUCAUCGGUCCUUCAACUUGGUUCGGUGUACCAUCUAUGUCCUCAAACUUUCAAAAUGCACAUCUAGAUCCUCAAAGUUGUUAGUCACAUCACAUGAGGUCCAAAUUAUCAUUAAUUGAGUUAAAUCACCACCGUGUCUGCUGACAUGGAC